CCUACGGGAGGCAGCAGUGGGGAAUAUUGGGCAAUGGGCGCAAGCCUGACCCAGCAACGCCGCGUGAAGGAAGAAGGCUUUCGGGUUGUAAACUUCUUUUGUCAGGGACGAAGCAAGUGACGGUACCUGACGAAUAAGCCACGGCUAACUACGUGCCAGCAGCCGCGGUAAUACGUAGGUGGCAAGCGUUAUCCGGAUUUAUUGGGUGUAAAGGGCGUGUAGGCGGGAAUGCAAGUCAGAUGUGAAAACUAUGGGCUCAACCCAUAGCCUGCAUUUGAAACGGUAUUUCGUGAGUGCUGGAGAGGCAAUCGGAAUUCCGUGUGUAGCGGUGAAAUGCGUAGAUAUACGGAGGAAGACCAGUGGCGAAGGCGGAUUGCUGGACAGUAACUGACGCUGAGGCGCGAAAGCGUGGGUAGCAAACAGGAUUAGAUACCCUAGUAGUC
rnacentral:rRNA from 1 species